rnacentral:rRNA from 1 species
UUGGGAAUGGGUGCACUUAUUAGAACAGAAGCCAACCAGUACAUGCAUUCUUUCGGGGGUGUGUGUAUUGUAGCACUUCUGGUGACUCUGGAUAAUUGUUACAGAUCGCAGUCGGCUUUAUGUCGGCGACGGGUCCUUCAAAUGUCUGCCCUAUCAAA